GGCCAGACUCCUACGGGAGGCAGCAGUGAGGAAUAUUGGUCAAUGGGAGAGAUCCUGAACCAGCCAAGCCGCGUGAGGGAAGACGGCCCUAUGGGUUGUAAACCUCUUUUGUCGGAGAACAAAACCCGGGACGUGUCCCGGACUGCGUGUAUCCGAAGAAAAAGCAUCGGCUAACUCCGUGCCAGCAGCCGCGGUAAUACGGAGGAUGCGAGCGUUAUCCGGAUUUAUUGGGUUUAAAGGGUGCGUAGGCGGCGCUUCAGGUCAGCGGUGAAAUACCGGGGCUCAACCCCGGGGCUGCCGUUGAAACCGGAGCGCUAGAAUUCCGAUGCCGUCGGAGGAAUGUGUGGUGUAGCGGUGAAAUGCAUAGAUAUCACACAGAACACCGAUUGCGAAGGCAUCGGACGAAUCGGAGAUUGACGCUGAUGCACGAAAGCGUGGGUAUCGAACAGGAUUAGAUACCCCGGUAUAC
rnacentral:rRNA from 1 species